rnacentral:rRNA from 1 species
GUCUAUGGCCAUGCCACCCUGAACAAGCCUGAUGUCUGAUCUCAGAAGCUAAGCAGGGUUGGGUCUGGUUAGUACUUGGAUGGGAAACCACCUAGGAAGACCAGGUGCUGUAGGUG